GGAUUGUGGCUCAGUGGUAGAGUGCUUGCCUAGCAUGUGUGAGGCACUGGGUCUGAUUCUCAGCACCA
rnacentral:tRNA from 1 species